rnacentral:rRNA from 1 species
UACGUAGGGUGCGAGCGUUAAUCGGAAUUACUGGGCGUAAAGCGUGCGCAGGCGGCGCCGCAAGUCAGGCGUGAAAUCCCCGAGCUUAACUUGGGAAUGGCGCUUGAAACUACGGUGCUAGAGUGUGGCAGAGGGGGGUGGAAUUCCGCGUGUAGCAGUGAAAUGCGUAGAGAUGCGGAGGAACACCGAUGGCGAAGGCAGCCCCCUGGGCUGAGAUUGACGCUCAGGCACGAAAGCGUGGGGAGCAAACAGG